rnacentral:lncRNA from 1 species
CUCCUCCAUAGUCGAUGGGGGCACUUCACUUGUCCUGGGGCGGCAGCAGCACGGACAUGCACAACUGAUUUCAAUUAGUACACACGAAGUAUGAUCAACGAUUCCGCAAAGAUAUUAAUUCCAGUGUAGUGUUCAAACGAUCAAAUGGAUGAGAUGAUCAACGAUGGCUCAGAUUAAAAAACUAGAAGGUACAGUUACAACUUAACAGAUCUGUGCACUCGGAGUUUGAGAAGACUAUAUAUAUAGCAUCCGCAUCACCAGGACACUCGAUACUGUAAUUAGUAGGCAGUUACAAGUUAAUAGAACAUAUGCUGCGAGUAGAAGAAUUGAAUCAAUAAUCAGUUUUAUCAUACAAUCAAGUUUGAAUCUGUAUUCCUAUAGCCCUAUAGCAGCAUUUAACAAGAAAUGUGGAGAACAAAGCAAGUGAAAAUAAAAAAAUUCCGUUUUGUUGUGGGCAGAUGAGCAGGGAUCAUAUGGUGCGAAAGCCGAAAUGGCCAAGAGUCUUUGAAUGGCAUUAGUGGCAGCAGAUUCACCGAAUUACUAGACAAGCAGAAAAACGUUUACCUGGAGACAUUUUAGGCGUGGGAGGUGAGUCAGGUGUGAAAUGCAUCUCACGAAGCGACUUGAGCCCUGUUUCAAAUGGGGGGAAACAAAUAAAUGAAAAAAUAAAAUUGGUACAUUCAAAAGAACUGCUCAACUGAUCAGUAAUCAUGACUAACCAUAGCAAAAAAGCACAGUAAUAAUAUCCCUAAGAGUAGCAUCCAGAGCUCGCUGGUAAUCCGCAUCUACCACCAACCAUCACCAAUGUAGCUUCACAAGGACUCACAAGAACAAGGAUAGGAGCGCAUAAACUUAUUUUGUAACUUGUUCGGUGAUCAAGAACACGCGCAUAGGGAGCACAAGAAUCGAUCCAAGCAUAUACUCGCCAUCAAGAAGGGACAAGUUUCUCCCCCCGGCCCUACUCCCCAACCAACCCACCGAACUAACUCCAUACGUUCAUCAUCAUACAUUGCGUACCGUGCAUUUUUCCUCUUCCUUCCAUACUGUGCACGAGGCCUUUGGCUACUCAAUUUAUUUUCUUUUGCUGCUUC